GUUUGUGCCGCGCGCCCGCCAGACCGCCCAGGAGGCGGCGGCUAUUGUUCCCCGCAGGGGCCCGGGGCGCCCUGAAACGGGGUCCACGUCAGCCCGCUCCCGAGCGUGUCCUCAGCGCUGUGAACAAUGGAGCCAUCAAAAAGGCCUUCUCCCAGCCUCCUCACCAACCACGGACAUUCCUGGCCCAACAAGACCUCCUGGCCAGGUUUUGAGCCCUGCUUCCCAGAUCUGGGGACCCUUCACCUGCCUCUACUACUGCAAAUGAUUGGAUAUUCGUCUGACUUGGCUCUUCCCUAAUGUGUGGAACUAAUUUUGUUCACUCUGUUUCAUGCUGGACCUGGCCUGAAAAUGGGCCCUUAUAUUGUCUUUGCACUUUCCAACUUGCCAAGUUUCUGAAAGAAGGACCAAAGUAAUGCCAAGAACUCCCAGAUGAAGAGGACCUUCCUUAGACCUAUAACAGAUUCACUACUUGACUUCAGAGGGAAGUUUCAGCUAAUUCUCAGGAAAAGGUCAAAACAGGCCUGUGACUGUCCCUUGAAUACUGAAGGUAUAAACAAGCUUCUGGCUCCUCCAGGUCAAGCAGAGGAACACUUUUAUUAGAAUGAAGGGUUACUUCUUUGUUAUUCAAACACACACCCACACACAUCCUCUGUAGUCUCCCUAAUGAAAAACCUCAACAGAUGGAGAGCCUGAGCUCCCAAGUCCGCAGGCUGAGAAGAUGCACUUCACUCAAGGGCCAGUGGGCUGGUACAGACUAGGGAAGAGAAAAGGGACAAAGGCUGCUAGUAUAGGUAAUCACUAUCUUUUAAUACUCCUAACACAUAGAAAUUCGAAAAAUCUUGUUCAGCAAUGUUAGCAGCCUGUGAGCCUCGGAAACUAAUUUGGCUGAUGUGUCUCUGAUAGGGAGCUUGGGGCUGCACCAAGGGGAAACAUUCUCCUCCUGUAUUCUCUCCUCUCUCUCGUUUGAAAGCCUGUACAAAGAAAUGGUACAAAUGGAUGGUUAACUUAAUGAUUCCAUCAGAGGCAGAUUUUUCUCUGUCAGGUCCCUGGAUAAGGUGGAGGUCUGAAAGCCAGGAGACAGAAUAUGUACUUAAUCGCCCUUUCUGACCUGCUUACCAGUGACCAGGACUACUCUCCAGGCCUUUCUUCUGCCACUUCCCCAUUCUUCCUGGCUAGUUCAGUUGGGUCUCAGCACUUCAACUCCUGGCUGGAUCCUGAGUUUUUCUUGGUUGCAGGGAAAGCUCUCACUGUCUGCAUCUCCUUCCCCACCCCCACCUCCCGUUUUGCAGCUGGCCAUUCUGGCUGCCUCACAGCUAUCCUGCCUUAAUUCAUAUUUGAUUGCCUGGACAGAACCACCUAGAAUGUCCAGACGACUGCCACCCCUCAGCCAUGGGCCUGAGAUCCUGCCCUGACCCCUUUCUUCAGACCCCAGGAGGACCCACAAUCUCCCUGAUCCCCACCUUCCCCAAAGUAGUCUCUAGGAAAAAAGCAGAGCUGGCUAAGGCCUGAGACAGAGCCAUUUCUUCCCCUUGGGCAAACGAGGUAGACCCUCCCAGAGACCAAUGCCGGAGAGGCCCGGAUCCGAGCUCCCUUUAUAUGGCCUCCCCCAUCACGGAUCCCGUGGGAAAACCUGACACACAAUGGCGCGGCUGCUCCGGGCACCCUCAACCCAGCGCCCUGCGGCAAGGCCUGGAGCAGCCUGGUGGUCUUGGUGCGCUCCCUUUGCCCUCCCCGCAACCCUCUGCGAGCACUCGUCCCAGGAGAGAGACCCUGGCUAGGGUGGAGGUUGCCUCCCGCAAAGGGCGCUGUUGCUGGGGCCUCCCCUCCCCCAUUCUCUUGUUUUUCUGCUUCUGAGACUCGGGAGGGAGGCGGCAGGCGCCUCCGCAGCCGAUAGAGCAGCUAUUGUGACCUUCCCUUGCAGAGCGGGAACCCAGCCGAGUGUGUACCGCCGGCGGUGGCGGGGGAGGAGGCGACUGUGUGUGCAAACCUCAGUCGGAGAGGGGGUGGCGCUGGGAAAUAAAGGUUUGCAACCUCAGGCAGUUGGGCCCUUCAGAGGGCGUUUGGUUGUGUUUAGACUCGGUUGCUUUCUAACACUAAUUGCAGGCUCAAAAGGAGCGGAAUUUAUUGCGAAGGCCAAGGCGGCUUGUUUAUAAUUUAUGAAGUUUUAAAUGGCUGUGCCGCGGGCCCCAACUUUCUCCUGGGCUGGCAGCCGCGCGGAAACGCGCCCUCCCCCGGCUCGCCGCCCACCCCCACCCACGCCCCUCAGAUGAGUCUCACGCCAAUGGCAGGAACAGAUCCGAGCUAUUAGAAGUCUCGGGAACCUCCAGAGAUGACAGAAGGUGGCAGAUUUGGUCCAAGCCCUCACCCCACUCGAGAGGAGGGCGUCGGGGAAAGCUGUGGCUGCCUGGAGAGGGAGCCCCUGAUCCCACACUUCCUUGGAGCCUGAGUGUGAGAGGAAGCUAAUGUCAGCCGGGCUAGACACCGUUUAAAGUCUAAUCCAUGAAACCCUAAGCCGCAAAUGACACUUGGGGCUUUGCAGACACCCGCAGACUCAGCAGAUACUCCUGCGGUAACACACUGUGCUGGAAAACGCCUGGAGCCAUGACACAUUACGUAUUUUUAUUAUUAUUUAUGGUAGGAAGAGGAGAUGAGGGAAAAUCGGGCUGAAUCUAAGCAGCCUGACAAUUCAGCUAGUUAAUAUUUAGCCAGUUAAGAAAGGUGGUUGUAAUCCCUGCAAGGCAGUGAGCUCUCCUUUGAUUUCUCUAAUAGCUUAAAAAAUAAUUUCUUACAAGACAAUUAGAAAUUCUGCCUAUGGAUGCAAAUUUCAUAGAAAACAAUGUUAAGCCUUGAAAGUGGGUAAAAUGUGCCUUCGAUUGAAGUCAUUUAUUCUGUUGAUACACUUCUACAACAUAUAUAUUUUAAACCUGCUCAGAUAAAGUGAAAUUUAGCAAAAGGAUAUCCCCUCCCACCCCCAAAUCUAACAUGCCAUUUUAAAAACAGCACAAAGGAACAAGGAAACUAAAUAUUAUUUUGAGCCAUCAUUACUUAGUGAAAUACAAACAUCCAAAUAGAAACGAUUGUUGUUCCACCAGAAGAUUAGAAGUUAAAUUAUUUCCACACAAUAGGAAUUUCACUUCGUGUCAUCGGGGAUGUAGUAGGAGUUGCAUUAUUUGUCAAACCAAAUAGAGAUGCGUGGGCUGACUUUGCUGAAAUACAAAAGAAUUGAACCUUAUCUGAAGGCGUUUUCUAAGUGGCCCCUCCCAUAGAAGCCGGGAAGUUGUCCACCCCUAGCAGAAGCCACAUUAAUAUUUACAAAAUGGUUAUAAAUCCUUGAAGACAUUUUUGCCCAUUUUGUAUAAGAAACAGGAGUAAACAAGGUGUUUAUACUUGUUAUGUUUCAUUAAUGAAAUAUUAUUACUUUACAUCUUGGGGAAUGUUUGUUUUCUUUAGAAAUGAACUAAUGAUCACUACAAAGGAAGAAUUCAUGACAGCAUUUCCUAGAGAAAAAGCUUAGGUACGCGUCUCCAAAUGAUGGUUUCUUUUUCUACACCUUAGCUUUUUCAUAGCUCAAUUCUUCUUACAACUUCUCUUGUGUUUUUUCUUUGAUUGUCAGUUUUCUUUCAAAGUUUAUUUUUUGUUACUUAAUGCAGAAAAGUGAGCUCUGGUCUCCCCAGUGUAAAAGUCGAUUGUGUCUAGAAAGAAGGCAGUAAAAACAGCAAAGCAGGCGCUGCUUUCAAAAAGCCCUGCCCAAAUCAUCCCGCCCAGAACCUUCUUAGGUUUGCAUCCUCAUUUCCCCCUCCCCUAAUUUCAAUAGCUGGAAAGUAAUCAAGUAUCCCGAGAACCAAUUUAUGCACUAGACUCCAAAUAAAUAAAAUAUUUUUUUCAAAGUGUCA
rnacentral:lncRNA from 1 species